rnacentral:lncRNA from 1 species
UGGUUGGCUACUAAAUGUUAAUCAUCGAUCUCCUAUAAAGGAGGUGAAAAAAUAUAAAUAUUUGCAUAUUUUGAGUCUCGAGACCACGAACUCUCUCGUAACUUGACGUCCAUUUGAAAGUGAAAGUCAAAAUGCCGAAAUCGAUGGGUCACUGUGAAAACUGUCUAAUGAUGAGAAAAUAAAGGUUGUCAGGUAGGUGAAAC